rnacentral:lncRNA from 1 species
CGGGACCCCCGAGGUGGGGGGGACUCAGAGCCCAAAGACCCCCGGGACCCCUGAAAUGGGGAGGGCCAGGACCCCUGGGACCCCUGAGAUAGGGGGGACGAAGACCCCUGGGACCCCCGAAAUGGGGAGGGCCAGGACCCCUGAUUUGGGGGGGAAGAGGACCCCUGGGACCCCCGGGACCCCCAAAAUGGGGAGGGCCAGGAGCCCUGGGACCCCUGAGAUGGGGGGGACGAGGACCCCUGGGACCCCCGAAAUGGGGAGGGCAAAGACCCCCGGGACCCCAGAGCUGGGGGGAGGCAGGAGCUCUGAUAUUGGGGGGAUGAAGACCCCCACGACACCCGGGACCCCCGAAAUGGGGAAGGCCAGGACCCCUGAUUUGGAGGGGACGAGGACCCCUGGGACCCCUGGGACCCCCGAAAUGGGGAGGGCCAGGACCUCUGAGGUGGGGGGCAUGAAGACCCCUGGGACCCCCGAAAUGGGGAGGGCAAAGACCCCCGGGACCCCAGAACCAGGGGGGGCCAGGAGCUCUGAUAUUGGGGGGAUGAAGACCCCCACAUCACCCGGGACCCCCGAAAUGGGGAGGGUAAAGACCCCCAGGACCCCUGAGGUGGGGGGGACGAGGACCCCUGGGACCCCCGGGACCCCCGAAAUGGGGAGGGCCAGGAAUCCUGGGACCCCUGAUUUGGGGGGGACGAAGACCCCUGGGACCCCCGGGACCCCCGAAAUGGGGAGGGCAGAGACACCCAGGACCCCUGAUUUGGGGGGGACGAAGACCCCUGGGACCCCCGAAAUGGGGAGGGCCAGGAAUCCUGGGACCCCUGAUUUGGGGGGGACGAGGACCCCUGGGACCCCCGGGACCCCCGAAAUGGGGGGGGUGAGGACCCCCCAGAUCCCCGAGAGCCCUGAGAUUGGGCGAACCCGGACCCCUGGGACCCCCGGGACCCCCGGGACCCCCGAGCUGAGCCCCCGCGCUGGCACCCGCGGGUGGGGUGAGUAUGGGGAGGGUCUGUGGGGCGCUUGGGGGGGCGGGGGGGGCGGCUGUGGGGUGGUUGUGCGGAUCUGUGGGGCGGCUGUGGGGCACUUGGGGGGCUGAGGGGCAGUUA